rnacentral:lncRNA from 1 species
UAAUAUCUCAUGUCUAGGUAGAGGAUACGACCUGCUCUGAUACCAAUUGUAACACCCACAUAUAAUACAUGUCUAGAAUACAUAUUAUACAUAGUGCAAUACUGGUACUGAAAUACAUAAGCGCCUAGCGGCAACAAUGUACAUUUUUACAUGCUCAAAAGAAAACAUUACAUGACACAAAAACUACACAAAAGUGCCCAAAAUAAACCACAUGGGAACUAGAAAAUAUCUACACA